CAGGGUGCGAAGCAGCCGGAGAUUUUCACCAGGCAGAUUAAAAAAAAAAUCUACCUACUGUGGCUUCUAAAAGAAAACAACACGUGCUUUUACAGAAACCACGCGUGAUGCUAAACUGAAGGCCCCUCUCCACGGGGCACACGAGGGCACAGGUGACGGGGUCAGGCACAGCACCCAGCUCUACUUUCAGAGACAGGGAACCCAGCUGCCUGACUCCUCCUGUAC
rnacentral:lncRNA from 1 species